rnacentral:rRNA from 1 species
CGUGUAGGCGGCCAAGUAAGUCUGCUGUGAAAACUCGAGGCUUAACCUCGAGCUGUCGGCGGAAACUAUUUGGCUAGAGUCCGGAAGAGGAGAAUGGAAUUCCCGGUGUAGCGGUGAAAUGCGCAGAUAUCGGGAAGAACACCCGUGGCGAAGGCGGUUCUCUGGGACGGUACUGACGCUGAGACGCGAAAGCGUGGGGAGCGAACA